rnacentral:rRNA from 1 species
GAUGAACGCUGGCGGCGUGCCUAACACAUGCAAGUCGAGCGAACAGACGAGGAGCUUGCUCCUCUGACGUUAGCGGCGGACGGGUGAGUAACACGUGGAUAACCUACCUAUAAGACUGGGAUAACUUCGGGAAACCGGAGCUAAUACCGGAUAAUAUAUUGAACCGCAUGGUUCAAUAGUGAAAGACGGUUUUGCUGUCACUUAUAGAUGGAUCCGCGCCGCAUUAGCUAGUUGGUAAGGUAACGGCUUACCAAGGCAACGAUGCGUAGCCGACCUGAGAGGGUGAUCGGCCACACUGGAACUGAGACACGGUCCAGACUCCUACGGGAGGCAGCAGUAGGGAAUCUUCCGCAAUGGGCGAAAGCCUGACGGAGCAACGCCGCGUGAGUGAUGAAGGUCUUCGGAUCGUAAAGCUCUGUUAGUAGGGAAGAACAAAUGUGUAAGUAACUAUGCACGUAUUGACGGUACCUAAUCAGAAAGCCACGGCUAACUACGUG